rnacentral:sRNA from 1 species
AGUAAAUUUAAACUGCAGCCGCGGCCGAAAACGCCAAGAGAUUGAUGCUGUAGCUGCCCUGAGAUAACCGGGACUGUGGAAUCGGGAAGAGCUCAUGGAGCUCGCGAAUGUAAUACGGAGGCCUCUGAGGAAGGAGUACGGAGGCCGAGAAGGAGCCGGCAUUUGAUGAGCGAACCGGGAAAGGGAGACGAUUGCUUCGAGCUGGAGAGUUCCAUGGCUGAGAGUAGGCUCCGGGCCCCGGACCUAGGAGUUUCCAGGUGUCUAGGAAAAUGCCAGAAGAACUCACCAGGUGCCGGGAAGCAUCCCUUUUCCGGAAAGUCCUUUUACUUGGAUCUGCCUGCUGGCAAGAAUCUCCAGUUUUUGACGGGGGCCAUUCAGCAACUGGGUGGGGUAAUUGAGGGUUUUCUGAGCAAAGAAGUAAGUUACAUCGUGUCCAGCCGCAGAGAAGUAAAGGCAGAGAGCAGUGGGAAAAGCCACAGAGGCUGCCCUAGCCCUAGCCCCAGUGAGGUCAGAGUGGAAACAUCGGCCAUGGUUGAUCCAAAAGGCAGCCACCCCAGGCCUUCACGGAAACCCGUUGACUUGGUGCCUCUAAGCAGAGGGAAGGAGCUGCUGCAGAAGGCCAUCAGAAACCAGGUGAGCUGGGGCAAGAUGGGACAGAGCGGGUGGUCUCCAGCGUAGGGAGGGAUUUCACUCUUCUUCCCAGGUUCUUCUGAAGCACCCACACAAAAUGCACACUCUGCGAUAUGUAGUAUUGUCAUUAUUUCCUUCUUCUACAUCAGGUAGUGGAGGCUCAGACAAGUUAUUUAGCCAUUCACCUAGAGAGUAAGUGUUGAAGCCAGAGCCACCUCCAACUCUGGAGCCUACCAAGAGAACUGUGGGGGUGUGGGAUGUGGCGGGACAGGGUUGCUGGGUACAGAAGCCAGACUUCUUUUACAAGUAACUCUAGGCUGGGUGUGGUGGCUCACGCCUAUAAUCCCAGCACUUUGGGAGGCUGAGGUGGGUGGACCACUUGAGGCCAGGAGUUCAAGACCAGCUUGGCCAACAUGGCGAAACCCCAUCUCUACCUAAAAAUUAGCAGGGUGUGGUGGCACGCACCUGUAGUCCCCGCUACUCAGGUGGCUGAAGCAGAAGAAUCGCUUGAACCUGAGAGGUGGAGGUUGCAGUGAGCCGAAAUUGUGCCACUGCACUCCAGCCUGGGCAAUAGAGCUAGACUCUGUCUCAAAAAAAAAACAAAAAACAAGUAACUCUUUAUUCCUUGUGUGAAAAUCCAGGGCUGUUAAAGUUUAGUGGCAGGAGGAGGAGUUAAGGUGAUCUUGUGAGAAGAGUCAUGCUGGUGACAUCAGGAGGGGUACAUGGCUGUGAUGGGGGAGGUGGUGCUGCUGGACUGAGCCAGUGGAGGGGGAAGAUCUGCAGCUAGCAUAGUUUCAUGCUCAAUGAGGAUGAUGGUCACCAUGUUUGUUGUGUACUUACUGUGCUGAGAGCUUUCCUCGCAGAGGCCCUCCCAACGAACAGCUCUCUCAGAAGCAUCUGUUCCUUCCUGGUCACGAGGUGGCCAGAGCACAAUGUAUAGGCAGACCAGUGGUCCUUCCUCUCCCAAUGUGGCCAUGUGGAGGACAGGAUGUCUUCCUGAGGGUUGGGAUGGACUCUCUGGGCACUGUACUCUCUCUCCUACCUGCCUCCCUGCAGUCCCUCCCAUGGAUGACUCAGGCCUCCCAGAAGCAAUUUCUAUCUGUCCCCUUCACUUUCAGGCCUUGGGGAGUCUCUGCUCCUACCUGACUCUGUGUUGUAAUUUCAGGGGAGCAUCAGUGGAGGAGGCAGUGGGGGCAGCAGCAGCCUCCUGACCAAUGCCCGCUCUUGGGGAGUGAGGAUUCUGCACGUGGAUGGUACCCUUUCUGUGCUGGGCUCCUGUGGAGGGAGAAUUGGUGACUUUGACCAGGAGUGUCAGCUUUUAGAAGGAUCAUGGUCAUGUGAGCUUCUGUCACCGGAAGCCAGAAAUACUCAGCUGCCAUGUUGAUCCACAAAGGUGGGAGGAUGUGGGGAAGGGGGAAAGCGGUGAGGACGCAGAGUGCAGGCUGUGGCCUCGGCAUCCCGCAGGAGGUCCCUAGAACAUGCCGUUUCAUGUCACCUGCUACAGCUCUCCCCCAGCUAGUAUCAUGAUCCUGUUUUACAAAUGCAGAAAUGAUCUUAAUAUUCAUGACCACUGGCCAGGCGUGGUGGCUCACACCUGUAAUCCCAGCACUUUGGGAGGCCAAGGCGGGUGGAUCACAAGGUCAAGAGUUCGAGACCAGCCUGACCAACGUGGUGAAACCCCGUCUCUACUAAAAAUACAAGCAUUAGCCGAGCCUAGUGGUGCGUGCCUGUAAUCCCAGCUACUCAGGAGGCUGAGGCAGGAGAAUCACUUGAACCCAGGAGGCAGAGGUUGCAGUCAGCCAAGAUCAUGCUACUGCACUCCAGCCUGGGUGACAGAGCGAGACUCCGUCUCAAAAAAAAAAA